AUACGGAGGGUCCAAGCGUUAUCCGGAAUCAUUGGGUUUAAAGGGUCCGCAGGCGGGCAAUUAAGUCAGAGGUGAAAACCCAUCGCUCAACGAUGGAACUGCCUUUGAUACUGGUUGACUUGAGUUAUACGGAAGUAGAUAGAAUAAGUAGUGUAGCGGUGAAAUGCAUAGAUAUUACUUAGAAUACCGAUUGCGAAGGCAGUCUACUACGUAUAUACUGACGCUGAGGGACGAAAGCGUGGGGAGCGAACAGGAUUAGAAACCCUUGUAGUCC
rnacentral:rRNA from 1 species